CCUACGGGUGGCAGCAGUGAGGAAUAUUGGUCAAUGGGCGCGAGCCUGAACCAGCCAAGUAGCGUGAAGGAUGACUGCCCUACGGGUUGUAAACUUCUUUUAUAAAGGAAUAAAGUGUGACACUUGUGCCUUUUUGUAUGUACUUUAUGAAUAAGGAUCGGCUAACUCCGUGCCAGCAGACGCGGUAAUACGGAGGAUCCGAGCGUUGUCCGGAUUUAUUGGGUUUAAAGGGAGCGUAGAUGGGUGGUUAAGUCAGUUGUGAAAGUCUGCGGCUUAACCGGAAAAUUGCAUUUGAUACUGGCAGCCUUGAGUACAGUUGAGGUAGGCGGAAUUCGAUGUGUAGCGGUGAAAUGCUUAGAUAUCACGAAGAACUCCGAUUGCGAAGGCAGCUUACUAAACUGCCACUGACACUGAGGUUCGAAAGCGUGGGUAGCAAACAGGAUUAGAUACCCCAGUAGUC
rnacentral:rRNA from 1 species